GAGUCCAUUGACUCCAAGCCUGGCGCAGGCCGUCCCUCGCAAGAUCUAGGCUUCAGGGUCUACACGCGGAGAAGCGCCGGAACGUGGAACACAUUUUAUGGGGCUGUGAAAUCCCACCGUCUGGGAACUGCUGUCCUAUGGGGUGAUGGCUCCAACUCUUGCUCUGCUGGAUGGAACAAGGGACGGGGUAGGGAGACCCUUGAGAUGUGGCGUUUCCAGAAAAAAGCUCAAAGGAGCCCCAGAUGGAUUUGGUAAAUUACAAUGAGGAGAGGUUCAGAGUGGGUCUCUUCCUGCCCGCCAGCCGCCUGGCAUCCUGUUAGGGCUUGCUGAACACUGCCUGAAGGCUGGGCUGCUGGCUCCAGGCAGGAUCUCUUCCUGUGAGGCUUUCUUUCUCAGGGCAAAGCCUGGUCACACGUCCUAGAGGCAGACUGUGGUUUGUUACUAGAAACACAGUUUGCUCUCUGAAAACUCUGUGUAGUUUCACUGCAUGUCUGUGCAUGUAUGUCUGCGUGUGUACAUGUGGGAGGUUGUGGCCUGCAGAAUGGUAAAGACACACCGUUGCUGGAGGCAACA